UCUGUCUUCCCCUGGGAAAGUCUUUUAAAGGCUUGAGGUCAUAAUUUUACUUCAACUGAGCUUCUUUGAGGAGUAUCUCAUUAUUUCCGGUUAUUUCCUUCUGGAAGUUGAUAGAGAUCAAAGAAUAAAUGCAUACAUAUUUUAGUCAUAUAUGUGUUCCUAUACGACUUCACUGGUUGGUUGAGCUCAAGCAUCAUUCAAUUACCAUGUCUUUUAGUCUUUCCUGGAAUGCUCAUUACAUAUCUGCAGUUCCGGAGACAAGUCUCUAUUUCAGAUCCUUUGGUUCCCUUGUACAAUGACUGGAUGUGGGAUAUGGCAGUAGUUAUAGCUUUUCCAAUGACAUUUUUCAGUCUAUUAAUCAUUGUUUUAGGCAUGACGCUGAGAGGCCAAGAAACCUCAGAUAAUGAUCUUCCUUUCAAAAUUUCCCGUAAUCAGAUUGCAAUUCAAAAGCC
ensembl:lncRNA